GAGAGGCUGAGCUUCAUUUUCUGUCACCUCCUACAUCUGUAGUGCCAGCUUUCUGGCAAGGAGAAGACUUAGACAUCCAAAUCUCUUCAGCAAGAAAUAGGACGUGCACUGCAGCUACAGCUCUCUAUAAAAGGUCACAUUUUAUGGAAAAGUUACUUCGUUCUGAAUCUAACAGGAUACCUGUGUAGGAGGUGUUGGGAAGCUUGAAAAUGUUUCCAUAGAUACAAAACAGAGCCAUAGCAGCAGCUUUCAGCCAGGCCAUGGUAUCUCCAUUGGUGGUAAUUGACACAGCUCCACCGGUAUCAAUGGAACUGCAUGAGCUUAUGAACUUUCAUGGUGCUUCUAGAUAACAUUUUAAGCAUUGCAGCUAAUGGUAAAUGAUCCUGAAAGCACCUACAAGGUGCUGCUAAUACAUCAAUCCUCUGCAGAAUGUCAAAAGAAGACAGGAGAGGACUGGGAAUCUCUACAGAUUGGGAAUGUGUUUCCAGAGCUACAACUUGACAAAGAUGACUCCGGAUGUUUUCACUUUCCCAUGUGGAAAGCUGUGCAUACUUUUUCCAAUCCCAAAGUAAAAUAUGGAAAGCUUGUUCAAACCCCAUUAUUUUUCUGCCUUCAGGUCAUCUUUCAUGAUGCUUGAACAGUGAUAUGUGAUGUGAUUUUUAUGUGGAAAACUGCAGUUGAACUUUUCAAGGUGUUUUGUAAAGUGCAUAACAAACAUGGUAAACCAAGAACUUCCAGUCUUCGGCUUUUGUCUAAUACACGUUUAAGUCUGAUUUUGCUUUGGGCAAGUUCUACUUGAAAUUAUGCAUAUGGAUAGCAUUUUAGUCUUUGUAAGUGCCUCUGCUCUCGUCUCAGAGCUUUCUAUAUUCUUAAUCCAUUAUUGACAUAUUUUGGCAAUUCUGUUUGUCCUGUAAGUGUAGCAAGAAAUAGGAAAUACUAAUGGGUUCAUUUUUAGCACUCAGUGCAGAAAGAGGUCAAUGCUAUAAUUUUCCACCAUGUGAUGAUAGUAUUCCUGUGAGCAUUUACUCCAGAAAUCCUAAUGCUAAUGCAUGUUCUAGUCCAAGAUAACUUGUUAGUGUGUGUUACUUGGAAGUGAAGAACUUUCAGCUGAUUAAGAACAGCAUAGAUAUGUAAUUAAUGGAGAGAAAAAAAAAAAAAAAAGAAAACUAUGUAUCUUUUGCCUGUCUGGGAAUCCUAACCCUUUU